UACAUGGGGUGCAAACGUUGCUCGGAAUUAUUGGGCGUAAAGCGCACGUAGGUGGUCUGUUAUGUCAGACGUGAAAGCCCUCGGCUUAACUGAGGAAGUGCACCUGAAACUGGCAGGCUUGAGUACGAAAGAGGGUCGCGGAAUUCCCGGUGUAGCGGUGAAAUGCGCAGAUAUCGGGAGGAACACCGGUGGCGAAGGCGGUUCUCUGGGCCUGUACUGACGCUGAGGAGCGAAAGCGUGGGGAGCGAACAGG
rnacentral:rRNA from 1 species